CUUGGUGCGAGUCAGAGUAGAGAUCUUUGGUCCUGAAUGAAAGCUCUGCAAACUGUGCUGUGAACUGUUUUAUUUGUACAAGUUUGUACAGCUUUUCAUCUUAAAGUUGUCGGUUCAUUGCUUCCGGAAGAAGAAGCAAUGGGGUGAAACUCUGAUACUGUUUAACAAAGCAACCUGUAUGUGUGAGUCAAGGCGAGGUCCUGGCUUUUCAGUUUGUUCCUGGCAUGCAAGGAAAUCCAAGAGAAAGCAGUCUUUCCUGAAUCAGGGCUUGCUGCUGAAUUUCCAGCCCUUAUUUUGGAAUAAGGACAGCUGACUGUCCCAGGGCUGUUUUAUGAACAUAUCCUGGCUAUCGCUGUCAUGUGUCAUGAUUCAGGUCAAGGAAUCGAGGAUGAGACUGGAGAUAUGAGGGCAUGGCUGAGGCUGCCCGGCUGACCUGCUGGGCUGGAGCUGCUUGCAGAGGAGCACUGCCAAGGAAGGGUUUGUGACAUCUCCUGUUCUUUUUCUUUUAAGUGGUUUAUUUGUGUUUGUUUGUUUCUGUGUAUUUUUUCUCCAAAGAGUUGCUGACUUUGGGGGAAAAGAUAUCCCAUGACGAUCAGGAUCAACCUGCUUUGGCCACAUCUCUCACCAAGGCAUACAGAGAGCCACUUCAGGCUGCUGUCUGCACGAGGGAGGUUUGAUCUUUCAAAACUUGCUUUGUCAGAAUCCCUUUGCAAGAGAAGAGCAGUGAUUAAUGUUGAUGCCAAUUGCUAGAGAGGCCAUGGAACACCUGCCACUGCUUUCCUCCCACCAGCCAGCAAAGGAGGAAGGUGACUCAGGGAGGUGGGUACUGUGAGUGUUGGCUUCGCUGCUCUUCAGUGGAUGCUUUGCAGGUCGUUAUUAUGGGGAUGGCGGUCCAUGUGGUCCAAUGGCUGUGCUACCUACAGCAGGGGCAGAAGCCCACUUGUGCAGCAGCACUCCAGAUCUGCCACGUUAGAAGCCCACAAAGACACAGCACCUUUCAGAAAAUGAGAGUUGUAAAGGUAAGGGGCAGGCAUCGGCUCCGCCUCCUCCCCACGCCUGCCUUUAAUAUCUCAUUAUUGGCACUAAUGACUGAUUAUACGUCUCCAGUCUUUUGACCUUUAAUAAUUUCUGUACCAACAUGCUUUACUGCUUUCCGGGGGAAAUGUUAUCUGAAGUGUGAAAUUAACCAUUCUUUUGUUAUGAAAUCACCACUUGGCCAUCACCGCUGAAUAGUUUCAAACCUGAAACAUAUUUGAACUGUUUCCAAGUUCAUCUAGAGCGUGACCUUGUGUGUUUUAAUAAUUAUAAUUUCCUAAGUAAAGUACAACUCUAGAACCGGAGAAAAAAUGUGCAGACAGCUGCAGGGGUGGGGAGGGCUGACUGCAACGAUGAGCUCCACGAAUACAGCAGGAGGAAGGCCAUAAAUCUCCAAAAUCAAAGUGCCUUCUCAUUUUAACCCCUGGUGUGCGGCAGUGCUCCGGUGAUCCAAAGGAGCAGACCUUCCCGCGGGCUGCCCUGCUGGCAACAGAAGUGGGAAAUGUGCGGGGAGAAUGAGGAAGAGGAGGAGAAUCAUCAGGUUUUAAGCUGAUCUUCCUUUCCCCAGAGAGCCGCUCUGGUUUCAGAUUUUUAUCUCUGGCAUAGUGGUGUAGAUCAGCUGAAAGCAGCAGGAUUUGCCCCUGCAGAGACGUGAGCGGCACUCAGGCGCACAGCCGCGGUAUGCGUGCACAUGUGAGUAAUACCAUUGGAAUCAAGGACUUGAAAGAGGAGCGCGCACAUGAGUAAUGUUUUGUAGAUACAAGGGCUGGAAUCUGGGCCACACGGCUCAGGACAAAGAGACGUGUCAGUUCUGCAUAAAUAACACAGGCAUCCAGCUUCAACACCACAACCUGCUUAGCAGGGCGAAAGUCACCCUUUCCAACCCACUUCCAGGAGAGCCAGGACUGAGCAGGAGGUCACCUUCUGAGCCAUGGAUGAGCCCAGGUGCUGAGUGCUCCGAAUGCCCAGCGCUGCAAGCUCAGCUGGGGCAAUGGAUGGAACCUCGCUGUGCAAGAGAGGGAGUGCCAUGUUUUGUGCUGCGGCUUUCUUGGAAGGAGAGCCUGCUGCAGCCCUGCUGCAGGGGAAUGUGGACCACAGCAGGAGGAAAUAGCCUCUGUUUCUCCUCCAGGCACUUUCCCUCUGUGUAACAAUCACCUCUUAAAGCCUCAAUGAAACAGGGUUAAAAAAAAAUAAAAGGAGAGAGCCAGAGCGACAGACCACCCAGGUCAGGGUGCGUUUAUCAGGCAUGCAUCACUCCGUGCAAUGUAAGGCUUCUCUGAGGCACUUCUGGGAGAUUUGACCAGCAAUAUGACUAACACAACACUUGGCAAAGCAAAGACUAAUAGUGUGAUUGUUCUGCCGGCUUCUCCCCUUCUCGAGUAAUAUCGUGCUGAGCAGCGUUCGAGUUAGAGAUCUGAAAGGCCUUUUCAUUAUUGUAUCGAAAACUCCUCUGACUGCAGAUCUCUUAAUCAAAGGACUUUUAUGUAAAGUCACAUUUUUUCCAAAACCAGAAAAGUUCAGGCUCAGAGCAUAAACAUUAGACUCAUUAUUUAGAAAUAGCAAGUAAGUCCUCUGGGUUCUGGUAUCAGAUCAAAGCUAAAAAAUUAAAUUGCUAAAAAAAAAAAGGAAAAAAAUAAGCUCAUUUUGGGGAUCAGCAUAUUUCUUGUUUGCUUUUUAUUAUGGAGCUAAAAAAAGGAAUAGUGAGAUUCUGUCGGUGGUUUUCAAGUGUUUUCCAAAACUGGAAGGGUGCUGCAUGCUGAGCACUUCCACAGUCUGUGGAGGCAGAAAAUAUUUUGUUGACAUGACAAUAAAACCAUUCUGCACUUAUCGCAUUGUUUUCCCUUCUGCUGUUCAUAGCCACAAGCGAGCAGCGUGAGCACCGUGCUCCUGAGGAAGAGAAACCUGUGUUUGGCUGUUGGUGCCUCUGGGAUGGAGGCUGGAGCCUGCCCUGAUGCAUCAAGGAAGAGUUCCCAUCCAGGCUGUGGGCAAUUGGGCACUGCCUUGGCCAGCGUGUGGCCCAACAUCAUGCUGCUGUGCCGAGGGAAUCGCUGCCCAGUGGUAACCAGAGGCAAAGAUAACUAGCUUAUUGUUAAGAGUUCUAGACCCACAUCUCCAGUUGCCAAUGCUUUUUCUCUCUUCUCCCUGCUCAUGGCAUCUGCCUGCUUUUUCAGGCUGUGGACACACGCACUGGGAUGGGCUUUUGGUGCAGAGGUCAGUGGAUGUAGGAAUGGAGGAGAGCCAUGCACGUAGGGCAGCUACCAGUGCUGUCUCCAUCCAGGGCAAAUUCCACUCUGGAGACCUACAGCAACAAUUCCCACCACCCCCGAGGCGCUGUCUCCUACGCUGACCAUGGGGCACCUCAGGAGAUGGCAGAACCAAGGACUGAUGUUUGGGGUUGCUUUUUUUUUUUACUAUUUUCUUCCUGACUCAUUUCCCCAACCAAUAACUUACUGCGCUCACAAGCGAAAUAAGAACAGCUCCAAUUCCUGCUGAUGUCUGUGAGCUUUGCACGUGGCUCCAAGAGAGGUGGGACUAUCGUAGAAUACCAAAGCAAGCGGAUUGCUGAGGGCUCAGGAAUGGCAGAAAUGCCCUCAUGCGUUCUGUUUGUGACACUGCUGCUAAUUGGAGUUGCUUAAUCACACAGAGAGGCAGCUUCAGAGUAGCUUUACACCAGUCCUUCAGAUGUUUCCCUUAUCUCUGAUUUUCUGUGGCCUGCUGGGCUUUUUCCUAGUUGGUUUUCUGUCACCUAGAAAUUGCUCAGAGUGUUUAUUCCUCAGGACAUUUGAGUUUUCUCCAUGAUUCAGCCACAGACUCCUUGCUUGCCUGUCAUAAGACAUUCAAUCUUUUCAUUUCUAAGGUCCCCAUCUGUAUAGAGAGGCCAGAAAUGAGAGAAAAACAGGCAUAGUAGGGCUAGCUACAUACAGAUCCUCAAGUGUUGAGGGGACAUGCAGUUUCUUAAAUGAAUUGGUCACAUGAUACCGUUUUGGGGGGGUUUAUUUUGGUUCUUUACUGGGUAAUUGAAGCUUCAUAGACAUUAGGAAUCUGAAAAAUGCAUAUCAGUUACUUAUGUACAAACAGCUUUCUCACAGCAAUCUGGGGUUCUCGUAGGGGAGAGAGCCCUUCUAUGAGCACUGCAGCAAACAACCACCUGUUUCCACAAGUGUAAUGAUUCCCACAGCUAGAAUGAAGAGUUGAUAUUCAGGAUAUACACACAGAUUUUCCAUCUCUACAUUGCAACAUUAGCUGCGAUGCCCACCAUCAAACCUUCUCCACCAAGAAACACACCUAUUUCUCUACAUUUCUAAGCUUUCCAAAUGACCACCCCCUUCUCCAUUUAAUAAGAUCUGCAUUCCUCUGGCUUAGCUUCUACUUUUGCGAUGGGCUUGGCACCCAAAGACAUGUGUUCAAGUAGUAGGAAGCCCAAGGAUGCAGGUGGAUGAACUUGGUCCUCUAGCUGCUAUCCAACAGGAGAUGCAUGGUCAUCAAACUCAGCCCCACAGCAAGUGAAAGGCUCCUGCUACAGUGAGGGGAUGUAAUUGGACCUUGUAAGCUCUGUGACAUGGGAACCAAUUACACAGAAAUCCAAGCUUUGGCAGGCAAGUCUGCACUCUGGCGCUAGCUGGUCUCCAGCAAACGGCUGCUGUACGCAUGGUAAAGGUUAAGACUCAGCUGAUGCAGAGUUGGCAGCUGCACUGAGUCCUUUGGCAUUAACAUGCCAUCUUGGGUAAGGAAGAACAAUAGAUAAGUGCCUUCUGGCAGCCCGCUUCCAUGCUCCCAUUCAGCCCGUGACAUGUUCUUUGGGGAAGCGUUACUUGAGAAAGCAAAAGAUAAAUCAGUGUAUGGUAGGAAAAUAGCAGGAAGCUUUGGCUCAAGGCAGGCAGCUGAGGGACAGCAGAGUCCAAGCUUAUCUGCCAGUUCAAUGAAAUGGCACGGUACUGUAUAUUAAGCAAGGGAAAAGAAAGUAGUGCUGGCAUGGUGAAGAGAGACUGAUGGAAAGAACUGGACUCAAGGAGGAAUGGGUGGUUCUUUCUUAUAUGUCCUUUCCUUAACUACAUGCAAUGCAGUCCAGUGAAGAUCAGAUCACUUUCCGCAACAGUGAGGGUUGAAGAUGGAUGGGCACGGCAGGUUGGUGCUGGAAGCCAAGUGAGCAGCUGGCUAAAGCCCGUAUAGUCAAGGGAGCUCAGUGCUGGCCACCCAGGGCCUGGCCAUGGAAUGACCCUCAAGCUCCUCUGCAGUGAUAAGAGCGUCACUUCCACACUGCUGCCCUCAUGCCAUAGAAUCAUAGAAUCGCCUGGGUUGAAAGGAACCACAAUGAUCAUCUCGUUUCAACCCCCCUGCUAUGUGCAGGGUUGCCAACCACCAGACCAGGCUGCCCAGAGCCACAUCCAGCCUGGUCUUGAAUGCCUCCACGGAUGGGGUCAUUGCAGAGAAGCUGCUUUUGAGGAAAUGGGAACACCACCAACACAAACUGCUCUGGUUUGAACUGUUAAUGGACUUUCAGACACCAUGAAAGGCAGAAGGGCAGUGUGCUUGUGGCGAAAACCAUUCUCUCCUUUCUCACAGUGAGAGGGAAAGGACAGCACUAAAGAAAUGUGAUUUUGUGUUUGAAGGAAACAAUCAACCUAUUUUUCUCUCUAUAAGGGAGCAAAAUGGCCAUAGCUGCAAAUUAAUCCAGCAGUCCACAUCAGAUCCAGGAAGAAAAUAAUUUUGUUUUGUUUUCAUCACACAUUUCAGCAAUUAAGGAUUAGAAAGCAUUGGUUUUAAAAGGGAAACACUGUAAGGUUUUAUGACCUUAUAGUUAAAACCAUAUGACUGUCUGUAAAGAUAGAAAUAAGGACAUUAAGAAACUUAUAACGAGAAGAACUUAGGACUCUAGUCUCCAGGACAGCCUAAGAAUUCUGGUUCUCCGAAACUCUGACGUGGCUAUUGAAGCCCAAGCUUUGCCUUUCGGUCCCCCUCUUGUUCCUUGCACACCUGGAGACCUGGCCUUUGCUCUUUGCCUCUGUGUCCUGAGCAAUUUUCAUACAUUUCUGGGCUACAGUCUCUCUCUGUUUCAUAUCAGAACCUAUCUCUUCCCUUCCAUAUCUACACUUCUAUAGCAUCUCUUUUUACUGGUAUUACUUACUCCUAAUAACUGUAAUUACAUUAUGGAUCCCUGUCAAGCUUCUAGGAACAAAGCUUGGAUGAAGAAUUCUAUACAAAAUAGACCUCUAUCACAGGAAAUUUGCACCAUGGCAAAGAGACAAGGAAGUUGUUUGAUCAUUACUUUUAUCUAGAACAAAUUGCACAUAAUAGCAUAAUAAUAUUUUCUACCAGAUUCUGUUUCUCAGACAAGCACAAUUUCUUUCUCUUUUUUUUUUUUUUUGGUAAAUUAAUCUGCAUUUAACUGAAUCAUCUAUGUACAUCUGAGUCCCCAAAAUGAGAUACUUAAAUGUGCAUUAAAAAAUAAACAAAUGAGUAAUUCACUGAAUGCAGUCCUUGUUUCACUGCCCUUGACAUAGCCCUAGAAACUCAAAACUUUCGUAUUGACUUAAGAUAAGUGCCAUAAGACCAUUAAACAAUCCAUUGUUCUUAUGGUACCCAAUAAUCUAGUCUUUUUAUUUAAAUAUGAUAGGAAGUAAUCCCAGAGCCAAUGAAAGCAUGGAACCAACUAGGUGUAACGUUCCACAAAUGCUAUAUUGCAUGGAAGAGUUCAGCUCCUUAUCUGGAAAACAGUUGGCUGUGACCCUAUUAAACAAUUAUAUAUUAUCAGUUUUACUUGGCAACAUUUAUGUGUCAAAAUGUGUCAUGGGUUUCACAGCUUAGUUCCAGAAAUAGACUGUGAUCUGGGUGACAUCAUACUUCUCAGUAAAACCCUUUUUUUCACUUUUCUUCCUUUCAUAACCACUUGUGUUCCCGGUAUUCCCAGCCCCACGCUGGGUGCGCUCAGGCCAGCAAGAUGGAACAAGCCCUUUCCACAAUUUGGCUCCAUGGCACUUCAAAUGGGUUGAACAGUUUACCAAAACAGUGCUGGUCACCUGGUGACAAACAGGAACCUUGGUGGCUCCUCUAUGGCAGAGCAGGAAAAACACGGGAGCUUUGGUGAAGACUGUUUAUAGCAAUAACCACUGCGCAAUGAAGAGACACCAAAGACUAUCAAUGAUUGAAUGGGGCUGGCGGUUCACUUUGUGAUGUAAAGGGAUAAGAAUGUGUUACUGGGAGGUGCAACUCCCGUAAACUCAAACAACGUCCAUGGAUGUGCUGCUCAGAGCGCUUGGCCCGAGGCACAGGGGACAUGUCGGAUGGUGAAAGAUUAGGAAAAGCUACAAGCAGGGAGAGCUGAAAGUCUCCUCUCAGAAGCUUAUUGGGAUAUUUAAACAGUAAGUGACUGGAUUCUUAAAUGCAAAGUGGGAGAAAGUGGCAUUGUGAAACUGCAUUGCAAAAUCCUAUUAAGUCAAAGUUGCAAACAGCUACGCAACUGUCUGUUGUGUCGGAGCAGGAAGCCUGGGCACCAUUUUAAUGAGUCAUGAUCAAACAUCAUGCUGUCAUCUCAAUUUUUUCUCAAGUGCAUAUCAGGAAACAGAAAUGAAUUCUAGAGUUUUUAGCAUUCAAAGAAGAAAGUGCAUAAAGUUUUCUGCUCUCUGUAUGCUAAUCCUUUUCUUCAAAAUAUUAAGGGUGCGAUAUAAUUAAAAAUGUAGAAGGAGUUACCAUAGUAAACUCGAGGUCUUCAUGAACUAACUCACAGACCACAGCAUUUUCCUUUAUUUUGAAGCAUAACUGCAUUUUACCUCGCAAAUGUAGACAAACAUCCUCCAGGUUGUAAGCUGAAGGAAAUACGUAAGAAAGGAAAACAAAUUAAAAGAAGACAUAUGAAAAGUUUUCUCAGAAUCACUCAAGAAAAUUAACUUGAAACAACUAACCUACAUGUGGGAACAGAGUACUUCUACCACAUUAAACUGCAGGGCAACAGAACUCAAGUUUUAGCUAUUCCGGUAUUUAUUUAAUUUACUUUGGAAAUGAAUUAAGCAAUGGCGAAGUUAAGGCAUUUUCAUCACAAGCUGAAGAAAAGCUAAAUAAUGUACCUCAAGGUUUUUGAGUUUCUUUUGGAAGCUCCUUUGAGGCUCUUCAUACAAACUGCUCUUCAGUGGUCAGUCAGCACCUGGAUAUGGAACGCUCCUGUCAGUUCCUAUAGCAGUUUGGAAGCAACAGUGGCUUUUUCUGCAACACUGAGAAGCCUAAAAUAAAGACAUAUUUAGGAAUUAAUUGUGUUUUCUCUUUCUUUACCAUUUCUUCUUUUUUUUUUUCUUCAAAAGACAGAAGCAAAAUAAGAAGGAGAGAAGGGUAAAAGGGUAAAAGCACAGUGGAACUACAGAACAAACAAGAUGGCAAAAUAACAAAACUAUUUUUUAAUAAGCUGGGAAUUUGCCUCAGUAUGCAGUUCUUGGAGGAGAGGCGGCUCUGCAAGCUGGCCAGGUUCCCCACCGCACACAUAUGGACACCUGGAAGGAGAGGCAAAAUGAGCUUUACUCUUGUGCAACCCGAAGGUUACAUUUCUGUGACAAGUCUAAGUACUUCUUAUUAAGGAAAGGUUGAAAGACUGCAGAAAUGAUAAACAUCAGUUUUCAGUGGUGCAGUGAUAAACAGGCAUCAAAUAGGGAUCUUUAUUCUCCCCACAAAGAAUAACUGCUUACACCGAUGGGCUACACUGCUGGAAAGCUGUGUUUGAGAGGGGAAUCCAACAGGAGAAAAUAGAAUAUACAGAGAAAAGCACUGGAGAUGUGGAGGGAGAGCAGAGGAAAAAAAUGCUAUAAAUAAAAGCUAUUUGAAUUGAACUGUUCUUGAUCUUUAAUGAAUGAUGUUUCCUAAAGGCAAGAGAGGAACAAGAACUGUGAUGAGGGAGACAAACAUCCUCUAAAGAUCCAGGAGGUAUUUCCCAGAGUCCCAGCCCUGAGGCUGAAUGGGGACAGGGCUGGACUUGCCCAAGGAAAAGCCCAAAGUGAAGGAGAAACACUAUAAAGUGCAAAGGAGAGGAGAGGCAUCGUACUCUCACUGGGGCUGAGCAAGGGGUAGAGGAGGAUCAGGCACUAAAUGUUGCUCAUGUGUCAACUUGUUCUUCUAAACAAAGCACCUUCAAUCUGUAAUGAUUUUAGUGGCCUUUCUAAACCCCAGUUCAUAGGUUGUUAAUUCUCUAGCAUGACUUCUGUUUUUA
ensembl:lncRNA